AAUGAACGCUGGCGGCGCGCCUAAUACAUGCAAGUCGAGCGAGAAGACGUAGCAAUACGUUUGUAAAGCGGCGAACGGGUGAGGAAUACAUGGGUAACCUACCCUCGAGUGGGGAAUAACUAGCCGAAAGGUUAGCUAAUACCGCGUACGCUUCUUGGACUUCGGUUCAGGGAGGAAAGCGAUGCCGAGGGUAUCGCGCUCUUGGAUGGGCUCAUGUCCUAUCAGCUUGUUGGGAGGUAACGGCUCACCAAGGCUUCGACGGGUAGCUGGUCUGAGAGGACGAUCAGCCACACUGGCACUGCGACACGGGCCAGACUCCUACGGGAGGCAGCAGUAAGGAAUAUUGCGCAAUGGGCGAAAGCCUGACGCAGCGACGCCGCGUGGGGGAUGAAGGUCUUCGGAUUGUAAACCCCUUUCGGGAGGGAGAUGGAAUGGGGUAACCCAUUCGGACGUACCUCCAGAAGCAGCCACGGCUAACUUCGUGCCAGCAGCCGCGGUAAC
rnacentral:rRNA from 1 species